CACUAACGUAUUUUGUAGUAUUAUCUUAGUUUAUUAACUAAAAUGGUUUGGCAGUGAGUGAUUCUUUUUAGGGGAAGGUGUGGUGUAAAGGAUGUUCCGCCUAUUAAUUUACUUUUAUUAUGUUGGUGUAUAUCUGGUUUAAUAUUAUUGUUGAAUAAUAUUAGUUUGUGUAAUUUUAUUAGUUAAGCCAAGUCUAUGUGCUGCUUAUAGAAGUAUUCAUGCGUUACUUUAAUAAAGUUUUAGUUGUAAGUACUAUCAUAUUCAGGACUUAAAAGUAAUGUUAAAUUAGUUUGUUAAUGUGAAAUAAGUUUAGCUCA
rnacentral:rRNA from 1 species